UGGGACAGGAUGGCUGGCAGAAUACUAACGGAUUGGGACAGGAUGGCUGGCUGAAUACUAACGGAUUGGGACAGGACGGCUGGCUGAAUACUAACGGAUUGGGACAAGACAGCUGGCUGAAUACUAACGGAUUGGGACAGGGCGGCUGGCUGAAUACUAACGGAUUGGGACAGGAAAGCUGGAUUAAUACUCUACUAACGGAUUGGGACAGGACGGCUGGCUGAUACGGACUAUGGAUUGCUAAUUUAAGGGCAUCGGUGGGAUUACAUCUCUAAGGAAUAAGUCUGGAUAGCAUCAGGCCCAGUCUGCUCUGUACGAGGAUAGCAUCAGGCCCAGUCUGCUCUGUACGAGGAUAGCGUCAGGCCCAGUCUGCGCUGUACGAGGGUAGCAUCAGGCCCAGUCUGCUCUGUACGAGGAUAGCAUCAGGCCCAGUCUGCGCUGUACGAGGAUAGCAUCAGGCCCAGUCUGCGCUGUACGAGGAUAGCAUCAGGCCCAGUCUGCUCUGUACGAGGGUAGCAUCAGGCCCAGUCUGCGCUGUACGAGGGUAGCAUCAGGCCCAGUCUGCGCUGUACGAGGAUAGCAUCAGGCCCAGUCUGCGCUGUACGAGGAUAGCAUCAGGCCCAGUCUGCGCUGUACGAGGGUAGCAUCAGGCCCAGUCUGCGCUGUACGAGGAUAGCAUCAGGCCCAGUCUGCGCUGUACGAGGGUAGCAUCAGGCCCAGUCUGCGCUGUACGAGGAUAGCAUCAGGCCCAGUCUGCGCUGUACGAGGGUAGCAUCAGGCCCAGUCUGCGCUGUACGAGGGUAGCAUCAGGCCCAGUCUGCGCUGUACGAGGAUAGCAUCAGGCCCAGUCUGCGCUGUACGAGGGUAGCAUCAGGCCCAGUCUGCGCUGUACGAGGGUAGCAUCAGGCCCAGUCUGCGCUGUACGAGGGUAGCAUCAGGCCCAGUCUGCGCUGUACGAGGGUAGCAUCAGGCCCAGUCUGCGCUGUACGAGGGUAGCAUCAGGCCCAGUCUGCGCUGUACGAGGGUAGCAUCAGGCCCAGUCUGCGCUGUACGAGGGUAGCAUCAGGCCCAGUCUGCGCUGUACGAGGGUAGCAUCAGGCCCAGUCUGCGCUGUACGAGGAUAGCAUCAGGCCCAGUCUGCGCUGUACGAGGGUAGCAUCAGGCCCAGUCUGCGCUGUACGAGGGUAGCAUCAGGCCCAGUCUGCGCUGUACGAGGGUAGCAUCGGGCCCAGUCUGCGCUGUACGAGGGUAGCAUCAGGCCCAGUCUGCGCUGUACGAGGAUAGCAUCAGGCCCAGUCUGCGCUGUAC